rnacentral:tRNA from 1 species
GAUGAACCCUAUAAAGUUCUUUAGACA